rnacentral:rRNA from 1 species
AUUGAACGCUGGCGGCAUGCCUUACACAUGCAAGUCGAACGGUAACAGGUCUUCGGAUGCUGACGAGUUUUUUUGGCGAACGGGUGAGUAAUACAUCGGAACGUGCCCGAUCGUGGGGGAUAACGAGGCGAAAGCUUUGCUAAUACCGCAUACGAUCCACGGAUGAAAGCGGGGGAUCUUCGGACCUCGCGCGGACGGAGCGGCCGAUGGCAGAUUAGGUAGUUGGUGGGGAUAAAAGCUUACCAAGCCGACGAUCUGUAGCUGGUCUGAGAGGAUGAUCAGCCACACUGGGACUGAGACACGGCCCAGACUCCUACGGGAGGCAGCAGUGGGGAAUUUUGGACAAUGGGCGAAAGCCUGAUCCAGCCAUGCCGCGUGCAGGAUGAA